rnacentral:rRNA from 1 species
UACGAAGGGGGCUAGCGUUGCUCGGAAUCACUGGGCGUAAAGGGUGCGUAGGCGGGUCUUUAAGUCAGGGGUGAAAUCCCGGGGCUCAACCUCGGAAUUGCCUUCGAUACUGUUAGUCUUGAGUCCGGGAGAGGUGAGUGGAAUUCCUAGUGUAGAGGUGAAAUUCGUAGAUAUUAGGAAGAACACCAGUGGCGAAGGCGGCUCACUGGCCCGGUACUGACGCUCAUGUGCGAAAGCGUGGGGAGCAAACAGGGAUUAAGAA